rnacentral:rRNA from 1 species
UACGUAGGUGGCAAGCGUUGUCCGGAUUUACUGGGCGUAAAGAGCGCGCAGGCGGUCGUUCAAGUCGCGUGUGAAAGCCCCCGGCUCAACUGGGGAGGGUCACGCGAUACUGAUCGACUGGAAGGCAGGAGAGGUAAGUGGAAUUCCGAGUGUAGAGGUGAAAUUCGUAGAUAUUCGGAAGAACACCAGUGGCGAAGGCGACUUACUGGACACAUAUUGACGCUGAGGUGCGAAAGCGUGGGGAGCAAACAGG